GCCACUGUGGCUCAAUGGCAGAGCUUCAGCUUUGCAUGCCAAAGAUCCCAGGUUCAAUUCCUAGCAUCACCAGGUAGGGCU